GGCCGUGUGGGCCAGGCCCCGAAGGAGAGGCGGCCGAGCUGGACCUAGCUGCGGGUCCUCCACAGGGAGGAGAAGGCGACUUCGCUCGUCACCCUCCGUUAGCGUCGGUUCUAGCGGCCGGCCAGGGUCUGCCGGCCUCCCCCGGCGGGACUCGCAGCGGCUGAGCCUGGCGCUCAGGGCGGGCCAGGCUCUGAGCUCGGCCGGAUGGGGCAGCGCCGCGCGGGAAGCUCUAGCAGCGCCGAGUGGCUCAGUCCCGCCGCCCUUUGAUCUGCCGCGUAGGUGAUGCCGCCUGCAGCUGCAGGCUCCUGUCCGAGCCAGGGCGUCAGGCUGCGCCGCCGCGGGGCUCUGGGACCGGCGGGUCUGCGCGGGGAAGGGCAUCUGAGCAAAAGAAAAGGAAGGAAAAUGAAAUUCCUACUCUUAAUAGCUUUCAUCCAUUUCUUACCACAAUGCACCGGGAAACCUUUAAGCUUGGAUGAACACCAACAUUGCCACCAACAAACAUUCAAAGAAAUUAAAAGAGAAAUAGCUGGGUAUUCCGAUAUUGCCAAGGCUAUUAUCAACCUUGCUGUUUAUGGCAAUGCCCAGAACAGAUCCUAUGAAAGACUGGCACGUUUCGUUGACACCAUUGGACCUAGACUCAGCGGCUCCAAAAAUCUAGAGAUGGCCAUCAAAUACAUGUUCAGUGUCCUGCAGGAGGAUAGGCUGGAAAAUGUCCACCUGGAACCUGUAAAAGUGCCUCACUGGGAGAGGGGAGAAGAGUCUGCUAUGAUGUUGGCACCAAGGAACCACAGCAUUGUUAUAUUAGGACUUGGAAGCAGUGUUGCAACUCCUCCAGAAGGAAUUACUGCUGAAGUCCUAGUGGUCACCUCUUUUGAUGAACUGCACAAAAGAGCUCAAGACGCCAAGGGGAAGAUUGUUGUUUACAACCAGCCUUUCAUCAGUUAUGAAGAAACUGUCAAAUAUAGAUUACUGGGAGCAGUUGAAGCUGGUAAAGUUGGAGCGGUGGCAUCCCUUAUCAGAUCCGUUGCUUCCUUUUCUAUUAAUAGCCCUCACACUGGGUGGCAGCAGUACCAAUCUGAUGUGCCGAAGAUUCCUACAGCUUGUAUUUCAAUGGAAGAUGCCGAAAUGAUGGCACGGAUGUCUUCCCGAGGCACCAGGAUUGUUGUGACCCUGAAGAUGGAAGCCAAGACCUAUCCCGAUACUGGUUCCUUUAACACUGUGGCAGAAAUAGUUGGGAGCAAGUACCCAGAACAGGUUGUACUGGUCAGCGGACAUCUGGACAGCUGGGAUGUUGGGCAAGGAGCCAUGGAUGAUGGUGGUGGAGCAUUUAUAUCCUGGGAAGCAUUAUCUCUUAUUAAGGAUCUUGGGCUCCGCCCCAAGAGAACUCUGCGGUUGGUGCUGUGGACUGCGGAAGAACAAGGAGGGGUGGGUGCUGAGCAGUACUACCAGUUACAUAAGGGUAACAUCUCCAACUUUGACAUCGUCAUGGAGUCUGAUUCGGGUACCUUCAUGCCGAUGGGCCUGGCUUUUACAGGCAGUGAUAAAGCUCGUGCCAUCCUGAAGGAGAUUAUGCAGCUGCUGCAGCCUAUCAAUGUUACAAACAUUUACGAAAAUGGUGGUGAAACAGACACUGAAUAUUGGGUGAGAGAUGGAGUACCAGGUGCCAGCUUGCGUGAUGACAUCAGUAAAUACUUCUGGUUUCAUCAUACUCAAGGGGACACAAUGACAGUUCAGGAUCCAAACCAGAUGAAUCUCUGUGCUGCUGUUUGGACUGUCGUCUCCUAUGUAAUUGCUGACAUGGAAGAGAUGUUGCCAAGCUGCACAGUAAUGGACAGAGCAGGCAUUCAUGAUAUAUAUGUCUACUGCCUUUAGUCUGGGAGAUGCCACUAUAAUGCUUCUAAAUCUGUUUGAUGUGUAAGAUUAAAUACGACAUCAAUGUUCAGCAAACUUUGCGGACUUUGCAAAUACCCAGGAACUGUGCUCUGCCGCAAUGAAGAGGGAGACAGUUAUGCAAAUAAAAAUGGGUCCCACCCUUGUCCAUCAUGCAGUACAGCAAUUGAAAUCAAGGAUGUACCUUCUCUCUACUUCUGUUCUCUGUGGUUACUGAACUUUUAGCACAUAUAAUGAAGACUCAUCCCUCACAAAGCACUUAAGGGUUAGUCGUAUAUCACAGGAUUCCCCGCUAUAUCCUAUUUUUAUUACAAACUCAUCCUGCUUUUAUUUCAUUUUUUUUACUAGGCACAAUUAAUAACAAUGAGAACUUGCCUGGAUAUAAAGUUAAUGUUAAAUUCUUGUGGUGCCGAUGACUGAAGGAAGACUAUUUCCUGAUAACUUACAUUUCAAACUACCAAAUAUAUCAAUUAUGUGCCUUUUCACGUGCCAAUCCAUGGCUCUUCACUUGAUAUAUGACAUUAAUUGCAUCUCUUUGCUGAAGGGGAAUCGCAUCAGAACUUGGCUAUAGGAAACUAGUCUUUGCACUUUAAGGUGAAACUAAAAUUGUAUUUUUAAAACAAAUCAUCACCUUGAAUUAUGUUUGUCAAACAUUUCCUUUUGGAGACUGCUUCAAACAUUGCCACAAUUAAUGUAGCUAUGCGCAAGUUAGCCAAACUUAAGUAGUAAGAGCCAAUUUACUUAUUCUUUGUACUGAGGUUUUUCUUUGUAAUAAGCUUCAUGGCCGGGCUUGCUCUCACUCACUGCUGUGUAGCUUGUAAGUUAGCAGUAGAGUGAAAUUGGUGCCCAGUGUGCCUAACCAGAAGUUUCAAGCACCAAAAAUCUGGCCUUUCAUUUGCCUUCAGGAAAGGGAUCGUGUUGCUAGGAAUCCAAAUUAUCAUGAUUUAUUUAUACAAUGUACAGCAACUCUCACAAUUAAAGAAAACCCCACAAGUGUUUUGCUCCCUUUUCUCCCUUGUAAAGUGUACCAACUUUGUGGUAUCACUGCAGCAAUCCAUGAAUAAUGUAUGAAAUGAAAAAACCUCCUGCAGAGGGAAUAUAUAUACAGUGCUUUGCAGUUGUUGUAUCUAUACUAUUUGCAUCUCACUAAAAUAUAUCUAGAAAUGCCGUACAGGACUAAAAGUGUGCCUCUGCCUUUCUACUUCUGGACAAGAUUUUAGAGAGCUACCAAACUUUAAAAACAUCCUAGCCCUUAAUAAAAUGCUUUAU